AGAACGAACGCUGGCGGCAGGCCUCAAACAUGCAAGUCUAGGGGGUGUAGCAAUACAUCACCGGCGGACGGGUGCGUAACGCGUGGGAAUGUGCCUAUUGGUUCGGAACAACUGAGGGAAACUUCAGCUAAUACCGGAUGAGCCCGAAAGGGGAAAGAUUUCUCGCCAAUAGAUCAGCCCGCGUCCGAUUAGCUAGUUGGUGGGGUUAAAGCCUACCAAGGCGACGAUCGGUAGCUGUUCUGAGAGGAAGAUCAGCCACACUGGGACUGAGACACGGCCCAGACUCCUACGGGAGGCAGCAGUUGGGAAUCUUGGACAAUGGGGGAAACCCUGAUCCAGCCAUGCCGCGUGAGUGAUGAAGGCCUUCGGGUUGUAAAACUCUUUCGACGGGACGAUAAUGACGGUACCGUAGAAGAAGCUCCGGCUAACUUCGUGCCAGCAGCCGC
rnacentral:rRNA from 1 species